AUUAGAGGAAAAUACACCAAGAUUCAAUCAUCAGGAGUCCUUUGCAUAGACCACUCAUCUAAACUUAAGGGACAGCUGCCUUUCCGCUGAAGAUUUUUAUAAGUCCAGCCAGCAAGAAAGUUCAGAGCACCAAAAAUCUUAACUGGCGCAAGCUUUAUUUCUUUACGAAGCAUUAAAGGAAAAAUAUAACUACUGCCUAACCACAUUAUUGGGAUAUGUCUUCCGUUUUGUGUAAUAUCAUAAUGAUAUUGUCUCAUACAAAGAUGAUAGUGAUGAUGUUGCCAGAGAUAGCGGGACUAAACCUCAAAUCUGCACAUUCCUAAACUCUAGAGAGGAGGUUUGAUUAGUCUUCAAGUUUUGUACCUCAAGUUUGUCUCUGAGCAUUUCAGUAUGUAUGGUAAAUUGCAGUAGGGUAAAUGUUCUGUUACUUCUGUGUACUGUAGUGUUAAAUGAUGGAUGGGUCAUUAAAAACCCAUUAACUUCAUAACUACUGUAAGUUUCCCACAAAACAUCAAACUAAUUGUACAUUUCCACAU